rnacentral:rRNA from 1 species
AGCGGAGGAAAAGAAACCAACCGGGAUUGCCUCAGUAACGGCGAGUGAAGCGGCAAAAGCUCAAAUUUGAAAUCUGCGUAAGCCGAGUUGUAAUUUGAAGAUGGCUACUUUGGUAAUGGCUCUUGUCUAUGUUCCUUGGAACAGGACGUCACAGAGGGUGAGAAUCCCGUGCGAUGAGAUGUCCAUUACCGUGUAAAGUGCUUUCGAAGAGUCGAGUUGUUUGGGAAUGCAGCUCUAAGUGGGUGGUAAAUUCCAUCUAAAGCUAAAUAUUGGCGAGAGACCGAUAGCGAACAAGUACAGUGAUGGAAAGAUGAAAAGAACUUUGAAAAGAGAGUGAAAAAGUACGUGAAAUUGUUGAAAGGGAAGGGCUUGAGAUCAGACUUGGUAUUUUGUAUGGCUUGCUUUCGGGCGGGUCCUCUGCAGUUUACUGGGCCAGCAUCGGUUUGGGUGGCAGGAUAAUAGCAUAGGAAUGUGGCUCUACUUCGGUGGAGUGUUAUAGCCUUUGUUGAUACUGCCUGCCUAGACCGAGGACUGCGUCUUUUGACUAGGAUGCUGGCAUAAUGAUCCUAAGCCGCCCGUCUU